GUGCUCACUUCGACAGCACAUAGUAUACUAAAACUGGAACGAUACAGAGAUUACCAUGGCCCCUGCACAAGAAUGAUAAGCAAAUUUGUGAAGCGUUCCAUAUUUAA
ensembl:snRNA U6 U6 spliceosomal RNA